UGUGCAUUGCUCCUCCUCAACUCCCAACUC
rnacentral:piRNA from 1 species